GGGGAAUAUUGCACAAUGGGCGAAAGCCUGAUGCAGCGACGCCGCGUGAGGGAUGAAGGCCUUCGGGUUGUAAACCUCUUUCAGCAGGGAAGAAGCGAAAGUGACGGUACCUGCAGAAGAAGCGCCGGCUAACUACGUGCCAGCAGCCGCGGUAAUACGUAGGGCGCAAGCGUUGUCCGGAAUUAUUGGGCGUAAAGAGCUCGUAGGCGGUUUGUCGCGUCUGCUGUGAAAACCCGAGGCUCAACCUCGGGCUUGCAGUGGGUACGGGCAGACUAGAGUGCGGUAGGGGAGACUGGAAUUCCUGGUGUAGCGGUAAAAUGCACAGAUAUCAGGAGGAACACCGAUGGCGAAGGCAGGUCUCUGGGCCGCAACUGACGCUGAGGAGCGAAAGCAUGGGUAGCAAAC
rnacentral:rRNA from 1 species